AUUGAACGCUGGCGGCAUGCCUUACACAUGCAAGUCGAACGGCAGCACGGGUGCUUGCACCUGGUGGCGAGUGGCGAACGGGCGAGUAAUACAUCGGAACAUGUCCUGUAGUGGGGGAUAGCCCGGCGAAAGCCGGAUUAAUACCGCAUACGAUCUACGGAUGAAAGCGGGGGACCUUCGGGCCUCGCGCUAUAGGGUUGGCCGAUGGCUGAUUAGCUAGUUGGUGGGGUAAAGGCCUACCAAGGCGACGGUCAGUAGCUGGUCUGAGAGGACGACCAGCCACACUGGGACUGAGACACGGCCCAGACUCCUACGGGAGGCAGCAGUGGGGAAUUUUGGACAAUGGGCGAAAGCCUGAUCCAGCAAUGCCGCGUGUGUGAAGAAGGCCUUCGGGUUGUAAAGCACUUUUGUCCGGAAAGAAAUCCUUGGCCCUAAUACGGUCGGGGGAUGACGGUACCGGAAGAAUAAGCACCAGCUAACUACGUG
rnacentral:rRNA from 1 species